GCUACAGCCGCCGACAGCGACGCUGUAGUGCAUGAUGCGACGUGUAGCCGUGUCCAUUGGCUAGCAGCGCCUAUUGAUGGGGCCCGUGGUGGAGCUGGUGAUGGAGAUGAUGAUGAUGAUGAUGAUGAUGAUGAUGAUGAUGAUGAUGAUGAUGGAGAUGGGAGUCCGCGGGUUAGGAUAUCUUUGCUGCGUCGUCGCCGUCGGUCGCUCUUCAGUAGUGGCGGCGGCGGCGGCGGCGGGGGCGGUUUGCGGAGAGAGGUCGAGACGGUGAAGGCUGCGAUGGCGGAGGCUGCGACGGGGGUGGAGGGCGUCGCUGUUGGUGGAGAUGCCGGAGGGGAUGGCGGAGAUGGAAGCAGCAGCAGCAGUGCUCCUGGCAGAGGAGGCGUGUUGAAGUUGGGCAUUAUGGGGCUACCGAACGCGGUAAGGUCAUGGUUUCGGAGCAUCCGCGAAUUGCACUGUCGAGGAGUCGUUAUGUCGUUAAUCUCAUUUGGCCUUCGUCGUCAUAUAUGUGUGUGUGGUGGUUAUAUAUAAUAAUUUUUUGACAUAUAUAAUAUAUGUCACAUAUAUUAUAUAUUUUUAAGUGACAUAUAUAUGUCAUUUAAAAAAUAUAUAUUAUAUUAUAUUAUUAUUGAAUAAUAUAUUAUUUUAUUAUAUUAUAUGUUGUGUAUAUAUAUUAUAUUAUUAUUAUAUUAUUUUAUAUAUUAUAUAUCACAUUAUAUAUCACAUUUUUAUUCAAUAAUAUUCCUUCCUACUGCCUUCUUUACCACCACCCGGACCUGUCGUUGAAAUCUCAUGCGCAGGGUAAGUCUACACUACUCAACAGGUUGCUGGGAGAGGAGCGCGCGCUGACGGGCCCGGAGCCGGGACUCACACGUGAUGCCGUACGGGCCAUGUGGAUGUACGGCAAUCAGCCAGUGGAGCUCAUUGACACGGCGGGCUGGAUUGGGGUGGGUCGUACAGCCAGGUGGGCCGUAUCGUGAGCUUUUGGGGUGUUGUAUUUCUGAAGGGGGUUGAGGGCCGGGAAAACCCUAAAACCCUAAAACCCUAAUAUCCGGGCACGGAGGCCCCAGAAGGGCAGAUGGGGGGUUGCGAGGACAGACGCAUCGCCGUCGGGGUCCAUUUCGAAAACGUUUCUGAUUUCAUCAUACACGUUCAAGCCUGGGCUAUUUCUUGUAACUGCUUCACUCUUCCGUGGUUCAUCCUCUUUCCCCCACCCACCCCCCCUUUGCCGUCUCACCCCCCAGCUACGAC
rnacentral:lncRNA from 1 species